rnacentral:lncRNA from 1 species
CCUGGAAACUUAUACUGCUAAAGGCUUUUAAGAGAUUGACUUGCGAACCAGUUUCAUGAAUCAUACUUAUGGAUCAUGUGAAAUUAUGAGGCUUAAUUAGGUAUAUCCAUCAUUCUCCCACCUUCAUUUAUGCCAUUGUCAGCAAAACUCGAUGUUAAUUAUGGUUGACAUAGCCACAGAUUGUUGGGGUGAAAUUUGACAGUAUGAUCCGAGGCAAUGUUUAUAGCAAUGCAAUGAAUGAUAUAGAAAAUGAUGAAAAUUUAUUCAUAAGGAAACCAGACGGACCAGAUCUAAUCUCUCUCUAAUGGUUCUCACCCUUACUCAUAUCCUUUGAUUCAGUUACUCCAACCCCAUUUUCCUCUUCACUACGAAAAGAAAUUCAUAAAUCAGCAAGGAAGUUAGCUACCCUAUCAAUUUCAAUGCACCCUUUUUGCCCAUUGGAUCAGCCAUGGGUACUCUGCUUCAAUGCUAAAGUUCACCAUCAAAGUAAGGCUUUGCCAAUAGCGUCAAGUUCUCUAUGAACUCCAUUUUCCCCUUUCCUAGUUCUUCCCCUUCGUUCAUCCAUAUCUUCUUCCCGCCACCAUACAACUGCAACACAAGUCAAACACUAACACGAACCUUUUUAUAAACAGGUUUGAUUCAACAAGGAGUAGGCUCUUCUUUUGGAGCAAGUUUUUCUUGCCGAAGGGGCAAGGCAGAAAGUCCAAGACUGAUACGCACGUCCUCUGCCAGUCUCACAGACUGUUAUAUAAUGAAGAAAAUUUAAGAAAAAACAAAACAAUUGUACGAAUAUCAUAUUGUAAGUUGGAUUUUAGGAUUUGGUUUUAAAACAGAAUCCAAAAUAGUCUAUCUAUGAAAUUAUGGAACUCAUUUAAAAUUACCUAUUCCACUUUUUGCAACCAUG